UUAAGUUCAGCGGGUAUCCCUACCUGAUCCGAGGUCAACCAUAGAAAAUUGGGGGGUUUAAUGGCGGAAGCACGCGGGGCACCUGUAACGAAAGAUAUUACUACGUUCAGGACCCAACGGCGCCGCCACUGGUUUUAAGGCCCGUCGUGUGACCGACGAAGCCCAAUACCAAGCUGAGCUUGAGGGUUGAAAUGACGCUC
rnacentral:misc_RNA from 1 species